rnacentral:lncRNA from 1 species
UUGAUUCUGAGAAGUACUUUCUAAAUUAUUCAUAUAGAUAGUCUAACAUACACUUGAUUCACUUGUUUUGAUGGUCGAUUGAGAAAGACAAAGAAAAAAAUAAAAAAGCAAUAAAAGAUGAAAAUGGUGGUAAAAGGUGAUUGAACCUUCUAAGUUGGGUAGCCCUCACCCGACUAUUCAUCCUAACGGUGGUCAAACCCCAACGUCGAACCAUAAUAAACAUAGAAAAGUGUGCAAAAAUUGAAUCUGCAAAAAUAAAAAUAA